rnacentral:lncRNA from 1 species
CAGCUUAUUCCUCCAAACCUAUCUUAACUCUAGCCUUUUAUGUUGGUCGGGCGAAAGUUGAUCCGCUUUUAAUCUCUUUUCUUUUAGGAGACAUCUUUUACCUAUACUAAGAGAAAAAAAGUAACAUUACAAUUUAUUCCUACAUAAUUUUAAUAAAAGGGUAAUAUAAAAUUCAAUAAAUAUAAUAGAUCACCCAUCUGUUACAACAGAUUCACCAUUUGUUCAAUAGAUGAUGUAUCUAUUGCAACAAGUGACCUAUCUGUUACAACAGACGACGAAUAUGUUGCAACAGAUGGGUCAUCUAUUAUAAGAAAUCAAACCAGUCUUACUACCAGUUUGAUUUAUUCUAAUAGGUGCUCUAUCUGUUGCAACAGAUGUGUCAUCUGUUGAAAUAGCUAUUUGGAUUUAUUCUAAUAACUGAUUCAUCAGUUGCAAUAGAUGGGGAAUUUGCUGGAAAACCUAUUUUAAUAUCAUCCACCAUAUGUUCCACCUGUUGCAACACUAACACCAAUAACAACAAUAAUAUCAACAACAAAGAAACAACUAGAAAACAAACAAGAAAAAUUGAUACUGCCAACAAAGCUUUUUAAGUUCUCCCAAUAGAUGACUUUUUUUGCAUAUAUUAAUAAAAAUAGCGAUUCAUUCAUUCAAGACUUAAAAGACACCUUUUUUCAAGUUUCUCGAUAAAUAGGAUAUGGGUAAUGGAUAAAUAAAUAAAAAUAAUAGAUGUAAAUAAUUAAUUUAAAUAACUAAUGUAAGAAUAUGAUAUUAACAAUUUUAAUUUUCAUCAUAGAAAACAUGAGAAAAUUGAUACAAUAAGCAAAGAAGAAGACGAGAAGGCAAAAAUAAUUGUAGCGAGCUCGAUCUAAUAGAUAACCAUACCUGCAUGACAAAAACAAAGUGAUCAAAACACCAAUUUCAAUUGAGAAGAGAUAUAGAUUGGUUGAGAUCCAAAAGGAUCCUCAGGCGAAAGACGUGAAAAAAAGAGAAAGAGGAAAAAAGAGAAGACGGUUG